GGGAGCUGUGGGCAGGAGAGGAAGGAAAGCAGCUCUCUCAGCUAGCGAGGGGGUCAGGGACUGGGCCAAGCUCAGAAGCGGGGAGAAGAGCGAGACAGAGAUGCUCUGAGCAGGGGAGACAGGGAUCCCGGGCUGCUGCCGCUACCAACAAGGGUACACACUGCGGUCCUCAAGGCCAGGAGGGGGGUGGGGGCAGGGAAUGCCUCAGCCAACAGGGCAGCGGCUCGGCCCUGCUGCUGGCCCGGUGGGAAGUAGCCUGGGGCCCCGCGACUGAAAUCCGAGCCAGGCCUGGGCAGUCUCCGCUAGAAACGCUCUGGGCGCGCACUCCUGGAGACGCGGAGGCCCGGGCGCUCCAGACCAGUGUCCUUGUAGGAGGCUUCUUCACGAAGCUUAGAGUUUGGCCUUUCAUAGGGAAAGACUUGCUCGGGAGCAAGUCUAAGGGAUUUUAAGGGAUUUUAAAUCUUCCUGGGCCAGGGCUAGGGAGCUCUAGUGACAGUGUCUUGGUCUGGAAUCCAACUCUCCAAUUUUGAGGCCGCAGGGAGGAAUUCUGAGACUUUAGAGGCCGCACAGCCUUCAGCGCGCUCACCGCGUCCAGGCGUCAGUGAGGGGCUAUCUCGAGGCGCGAGUGCACAAAAGGUAGCGCGAGUCUCUUCUCAGGCGAUCCAGAUAAGAGGAAAUGAGAGCCGGGUUUUCUGACUUCCAACUCAUUAGGGACCAGGUUCUUUUUCUUCAGGAUCAGGCACAGAGACUGACUGAAUGGCUCCAAUUAUCAGGAUUUGAAAACCCAGUAUCAGAAUCUACCACUUUGUGCCUGAGGGAGAGGGAAAAGCGGAUACCCACCUGUGUCGCUGUUUGCGUGCCAAGUCCAGGAACAGUCCAUACAGCCCUGCUGCAUCCCACGACGCUGUCACAAAGCAGGAGUUCAUCCGAGGCCAAGAUGUUAAUUAUUCAUACUGCAUGACUGAGGAUUUUGGAGGCAGAGAGAGAUUCAUCUGCAAUAUUUGGAACACCAAUGGAGGUCUACGUCAACACAGAAUUUAUACAGCAGCUGGUGCUAGUCAGAGCUAAUGACAGAAUUUCAGUUUAAUAAAAAGACCCCCAACUGAGCACACCAUCUUGAAAAAAGUAUACUUAUCAAACAGCUUUCAAUCAGUUCAAGAGAGACACCUUAAUUGGGGAGAGGAAGAAUUGCAGAGUAGUUUGUAAUCAUGCCAAUUCCAGAUCAAUAACUGCAUGUCUGUUCUUUGGUAGAAAUAGCUUUUGCUUUAUAUUAAGUAAUCACAUAUAUAUUCUCUCUAUUUGGAUAAGGAAACCUUCGCUUUAUUUGACAAUGUAUAAUGAUAUACUCUUCUAAUUCACCUCUGUGUCUUCACAAUAAACAUGAGUAAAAUUUAGACAAGUGAUGGUAAAGGUCAAUAUAAUUAUUUAUUUUUAAAAUAAAUUUUGUAUCUAACAGGAAAGCAGUUCUUAUGAAAUUUUUAUAUUUUCAAAAAUUGUUUUGUUCAAAUAAAAUUUUAUGAGUAAAGUUAAA
rnacentral:lncRNA from 1 species